rnacentral:rRNA from 1 species
UACGGGGGGGGCAAGCGUUGUUCGGAAUUACUGGGCGUAAAGGGCUCGUAGGUGGCCAACUAAGUCAGACGUGAAAUCCCUCAGCUUAACUGGGGAACUGCGUCUGAUACUGGAUGGCUUGAGUUUGGGAGAGGGAUGCGGAAUUCCAGGUGUAGCGGUGAAGUGCGUAGAUAUCUGGAGGAACACCGGUGGCGAAGGCGGCAUCCUGGACCAACACUGACACUGAUGAGCGAAAGCCAGGGGAGCAAACGGG